UACAGAGGGGGCAAGCGUUGUUCGGAAUUACUGGGCGUAAAGGGCGCGUAGGCGGCCUUCUAAGUCGAACGUGAAAUCCCUGGGCUCAACCCAGGAACUGCGUCCGAUACUGGAAGGCUUGAAUCCGGGAGAGGGAUGCGGAAUCCAGGUGUAGCGGUGAAAUGCGCAGAUAUCAGGAGGAACACCGGUGGCGAAGGCGGUCUCUGGGCAUUACCUGACGCUGAGGAGCGAAAGUGUGGGGGGAGCGAACAGG
rnacentral:rRNA from 1 species